rfam:Myotis brandtii contig323642, whole genome shotgun sequence.
CAUGCACCGGUGGGGUCCCUCGGCCUGGCCUGUGCCUUCUUGCAAUCCGGGACCCCUCAGGGGAUGUUGGAGAGCCUGUUUCAGCCCGAUCCUACAGGCCAGGCCGAGGGACCCCACUGGUGCACG